UAGGGAAUCUUCGGCAAUGGGGGGAACCCUGACCGAGCAACGCCGCGUGAGUGAAGAAGGUUUUCGGAUCGUAAAGCCCUGUUGUUAAGGAAGAACGAGUGUGAGAAUGGAAAGUUCAUACUGUGACGGUACUUAACCAGAAAGGGACGGCUAACUACGUGCCAGCAGCCGCGGUAAUACGUAGGUCCCGAGCGUUGUCCGGAUUUAUUGGGCGUAAAGCGAGCGCAGGCGGUUAGAUAAGUCUGAAGUUAAAGGCAGUGGCUCAACCGGGGAGGGUCAUUGGAAACUGGUUGACUUGAGUGCAGAAGAGGAGAGUGGAUUUCCAUGUGUAGCGGUGAAAUGCGUAGAUAUAUGGAGGAACACCAGUGGCGAAGGCGACUCUCUGGUCUGUAACUGACGCUGAGGCUCGAAAGCGUGGGUAGCAAACAGG
rnacentral:rRNA from 1 species